rnacentral:tRNA from 1 species
GGGGUUGUAGCUUAGUGGUAGAACGCAUGUCUCGCAUGCAUGAGGCACUGGGUUCAAUCCUCAGCACCACA